rnacentral:rRNA from 1 species
AAUAUUUCGCAAUGGAGGAAACUCUGACGCAGCGACGCCGCGUGAGCGAUGAAGGUCUUCGGAUCGUAAAGCUCUGUCCUUGGGGAAGAAGGUCUUCGGACUUGACGGUACCCAUGGAGGCAGCCCCGGCUAACGACGUGCCAGCAGCCGCGGUAAUACGGAGGGGGAAACGGUUGUCCGGAAUUAUUGGGCGUAAAGGGUGCGUAGGCGGCCGUUUAAGUCAGAUGUGAAAGCCCACGGCUCAACCGUGGGAUUGCAUUUGAAACUGGAGGGCUUGAGUAUCGGAGAGGGUAGUGGAAUUCCCAGUGUAGCGGUGAAAUGCGUAGAUAUUGGGAGGAACACCAGUGGCGAAGGCGACUACCUGGACGAUUACUGACGCUGAUGCACGAAAGCUAGGGGAGCAAACA